GGGGAUUUAGCUCAGUGGUGCAAGCGCCUGCCUGGCAAGCAUGAGGAUAUGAGUUCAAUCCCCC
rnacentral:tRNA from 1 species